rnacentral:rRNA from 1 species
GACGAACGCUGGCGGCGUGCUUAACACAUGCAAGUCGAACGAAGAGCGAUGGAAGCUUGCUUCUAUCAAUCUUAGUGGCGAACGGGUGAGUAACGCGUAAUCAACCUGCCCUUCAGAGGGGGACAACAGUUGGAAACGACUGCUAAUACCGCAUACGAUCCAAUCUCGGCAUCGGGACUGGAUGAAAGGUGGCCUCUAUUUAUAAGCUAUCACUGAAGGAGGGGAUUGCGUCUGAUUAGCUAGUUGGAGGGGUAACGGCCCACCAAGGCGAUGAUCAGUAGCCGGUCUGAGAGGAGGAACGGCCACAUUGGGACUGAGACACGGCCCAGACUCCUACGGGAGGCAGCAGUGGGGAAUCUUCCGCAAUGGACGAAAGUCUGACGGAGCAACGCCGCGUGAGUGAUGACGGCCUUCGGGUUGUAAAGCUCUGUUAAUCGGGACGAAUGGUUCUUGUGCGAAUAGUGCGAGGAUUUGACGGUACCGGAAUAGAAAGCCACGGCUAACUACGUG